GGGGGGGGGGGGGGGGCCGAGCCCCCGCCGGCUGUUUCUCAGCCGGUGGCAGCCCGCGGGAAGCGGGGGUUCCUGCCCCCGCUCCCUCCGCCGCUCAUGGGCGAGGGGCCCGGGCUCCGCCGUGGGCGAAAAAGUUAAGGGAAAAAAAAAAAAAAGAAAAAAAAAGAACAAAAAAAGAGAGAUAAAACAAUAUGGGGCAUACUUGAAGUUCUCUGACCCUCUCGUGCAAAUCCAGUGUGUCCAUCAUCAUUUUGAGGACUUCAGUAUACGUUUGCAGUAUGAGGAUGAGGAAGAUCUCUUUAGGUUUUAUGCCUUAGUGGCCUCAAGAUUGUAUUACUGCAGUACACAGGGACAGAGGAGCUAUAGCUAUGGCAACCAGUGCCUGGUAGGUAACUGACAGCAAGAAUUACAGCAUCUCUAAGGAUUCACUGCAGACUGGUCUCCUUGCUGGUCUGAUGGCUCAUUUUGCUUUUGACCUUCAGGACAAGGACCAGCAUUAAGGCCUUUUCUGUUCCUAUUCAUCCUUCUGUAAGAAACUCUAAAGAGUGUAGAUAAACAGGUACAGAUGGGUCUUAAACCGGUUUCGAUGGAUAUCUCCUUGCAGUCAUAUUUAUUGUUACUCUUCAAGUGGGACAAAUUGUGUUUUAUUUUUGCUAGUAUCAGUAUUGCUAUAUCUACUGCGCCCACUUUGACCAUUAUAACUCUCUCAUUCAACACAUUGUUCACAGCUUUGGUUGACGCAGUGGUAUGAGUAAAUUCCUGAAGUCAAGCAGAGCUUCAGCUAUAGGUCUUAUAUUAAAGAUGAGGUGGGUAUUAAGGUGGGAUAUGAAACAUUCUUGUUUUUAUUAUUUAGGUUAAGCAAAAAGUGUCUUAAUUACAAAAGCCAGCUGCAAUGCUGGCAUUAAAAAUUCAGCACCUCCAGAGUCACUGGCAAUUGGAGAAUGUUUCAUAGCCAUGUUGCAAAAACCAAGAGAUUGAAAGGGGAAAUAUAAGAGAAAAUAAUUUCUUAAUAUCUCUGUUACUUGCUGGUAAAAUUUCAAGAAUAAUUAUACUGAUGUCCCUGGGUAAUGUGUGAGUGGUCAUUGUGCAGAACCUGAAAUUCAGUUUCAGGUCUCCUUGCCCAAAAACCCCCCACUUUAUUCUGAUUAAAAUACUGCAUAGAUCGGAGUGUAGUAUCUCUGUAGACAAUGUAUUUGGACUUCUUUUUUAUGAAAGCUCUUGGCCAUUUCUGUAAAGAUCGUUUGCCAGCUGUUAUCUACU
rnacentral:lncRNA from 1 species